rnacentral:rRNA from 1 species
UACGUAGGUGGCAAGCGUUGUCCGGAAUUAUUGGGCGUAAAGCGCGCGCAGGCGGUCCUUUAAGUCUGAUGUGAAAGCCCACGGCUCAACCGUGGAGGGUCAUUGGAAACUGGGGGACUUGAGUGCAGAAGAGGAAAGCGGAAUUCCACGUGUAGCGGUGAAAUGCGUAGAUAUCAGGAGGAAUACCAGUGGCGAAGGCGGCUCACUGGUCCGGUACUGACGCUGAGGUGCGAAAGCGUGGGGAGCAAACAGG